GGGUGACGGUAGGAGCAGAAGAAGCACCGGCUAACUACGUGCCAGCAGCCGCGGUAAUACGUAGGGUGCGAGCGUUGUCCGGAAUUAUUGGGCGUAAAGAGCUUGUAGGCGGUUUGUCGCGUCUGCUGUGAAAGCCCGGGGCUUAACCCCGGGUCUGCAGUGGGUACGGGCAGGCUAGAGUGUGGUAGGGGAGACUGGAAUUCCUGGUGUAGCGGUGGAAUGCGCAGAUAUCAGGAGGAACACCGAUGGCGAAGGCAGGUCUCUGGGCCACUACUGACGCUGAGAAGCGAAAGCGUGGGGAGCGAACAGGAUUAGAUACCCUGGUAGUCCACGCCGUAAACGUUGGGCGCUAGGUGUGGGUCCCAUUCCACGGGGUCCGUGCCGCAGCUAACGCAUUAAGCGCCCCGCCUGGGGAGUACGGCCGCAAGGCUAAAACUCAAAGGAAUUGACGGGGGCCCGCACAAGCGGCGGAGCAUGCGGAUUAAUUCGAUGCAACGCGAAGAACCUUACCAAGGCUUGACAUGUACCGGAAACUCCCAGAGAUGGGGGCCCCGCAAGGUCGGUACACAGGUGGUGCAUGGUUGUCGUCAGCUCGUGUCGUGAGAUGUUGGGUUAAGUCCCGCAACGAGCGCAACCCUCGUUCUAUGUUGCCAGCACGUGAUGGUGGGGACUCAUAGGAGACUGCCGGGGUCAACUCGGAGGAAGGUGGGGAUGACGUCAAAUCAUCAUGCCCCUUACGUCUUGGGCUUCACGCAUGCUACAAUGGCCGGUACAGAGGGCUGCGAAACCGUGAGGUGGAGCGAAUCCCUUAAAGCUGGUCUCAGUUCGGAUUGGGGUCUGCAACUCGACCCCAUGAAGUCGGAGUCGCUAGUAAUCGCAGAUCAGCAACGCUGCGGUGAAUACGUUCCCGGGCCUUGUACACACCGCCCGUCAAGUCACGAAAGUCGGUAACACCCGAAGCCGGUGGCCCAACCCCUUGUGGGAGGGAGCCGUCGAAGGUGGGACUGGUGAUUGGGACUAAGUCGUAACAAGGUAGCCGUACCGGAAGGUGCGGCUGGAUCACCUCCUUU
rnacentral:ncRNA from 1 species